rnacentral:rRNA from 1 species
UACGUAGGCAGCGAGCGUUGUUCGGAGUUACUGGGCGUAAAGAGUGCGUAGGCGGUUUUCUAAGUUUGGUGUGAAAUCUCCCGGCUCAACUGGGAGGGUGCGCCGAAGACUGGAAGGCUUGAGUAUGGGAGAGGUAAGCGGAAUUCCUGGUGUAGCGGUGAAAUGCGUAGAUAUCAGGAGGAACACCUGCGGUGUAGACGGCUUACUGGACCAUAACUGACGCUGAGGUGCGAAAGCGUGGGGAGCAAACAGG